GGAUUAGAUACCCUGGUAGUCCACGCCGUAAACGAUGUGCACUAGAUCGAGGGGGUUCUGACACUGCUCUCGGUCGAAGCGAAAGUGUUAAGUGCACCGCCUGGGGAGUACGGUCGCAAGGCUAAAACUCAAAGGAAUUGACGGGGGCUCACACAAGCGGUGGAGCAUGUGGCUUAAUUCGAAGCAACGCGAAGAACCUUAUCCUGGGUUUGACAUGUAUGGAUUAGCCUGGUGAAAGUCAGGUAACGCGGCUUGCCGUGGAACAUACACAGGUGCUGCAUGGCUGUCGUCAGCUCGUGUUG
rnacentral:rRNA from 1 species